rnacentral:misc_RNA from 1 species
UAACUAUACAAGAUUGCAGGAAAUACUUUGUCAAACUCUCUGAGGGAAAGGUUUGGGGUGCUGUGAAGCUCAUGGUAUCCUGCUGGUAUGCUGCUGACACUUACAAAUAUACACGCAAAUAUUUGACAUAGUUCAAUGAUUCCAGUCAGGAGCAGCCUGUGGACAAAAGGUCCUGAAUGCUAAUAAACAUGAAGAAGCACUGAGCACUCUGUCUCUCUGCCCCCAUUUAUUAAUUAAUUAUGUUAAUAUACUAUGAUAUAACAAUAACAGGUG